CAGAGUUGCAACAGCGCCAGAAAUCCACAAAGAAGAAAGCGAUCAGCCAAGCCACCCAGAUGGCUGAAAAAGGUGAAUGAUGUAGCAGCAAAAGUGUGGGACUACUUCUGCAAAUACUUUAACUUUAACUUUAGUAUUAUAAUUUAUUUACAGUACACACACAGACUGUUAAAAUCAGCUUCAACUGGAAGAAAGUAAAAGUGUUAAAUGUUUAAAAUCAGACUGUUUUUUGAUCGUUAAAAAAUAUAUACUUUUGAUGUGCAAUUGUUUAGUGAUUGAGACCGUAAUCUAAGGCUUUUUUUUACAUAAAUCCCUUCUGGAAAAUGGUUUAUACAGCCCACAUACAUAGAACAGGCAGAUAUUUUGCCAUUGAAUGUUAUGUAAGUGCAGCUUAUAGGAAAUGGGUCUAAUAUCCAGUUUAUUUUCAAAAUCAAAAUAUCGGCUUAUAAAUCGGCUCUUUUCGAGUUAAUAUCGGCAUCGGCAUCGGCCCCCAAAAAUCCAUAUCGGUCGGGCUCUAUUAAAUACCUUGUUUUUUGGACUUUGCACAAUGCAUUAUUAAAGCACAGAUUGUAUUUUAUCUCCAUCUUGAAUUUGGAAGAAGGACAAUGCAUCAGUGAGUCUGUUUUUCCCCAUGUUUCUUCCAUAUUGGACUCGGUUUGUAGCUUCUGAUUAUUUCCCAAAGAACAGGACCUGAGAAUAAAAGAAAGCGUUUCCUAAUCGUGUUUGUUUGAGAUUGACACCAGUCUCUGAUCGCACAAAGACCACCAGAAAAGCCUUCAAGUUCAUUGUUAGAUUGUGAUCCCGGGAAGGAAGUUGGGAGCAGCGAUUAAGCAGAAACGUCUAUUGCAUCAUUUGACUUUCCUGAAAACCACAGGCAUGGCUAAGAGCCUGUUCUGAGGAAAAGACAGCGUGCCAGAGGCUGACGUCCUCCUCCUCUUUCAUUAACCGUAAAUGGAGUCAAACGCAGGCAGCUCAUAAUGGACUAUUGUCACUUCAUGUGUUUUAUACUUGGCCUGAUGGCUGUGAGAUAGUCAGCCUUUGGACAUAUGAUUGGACUAUGUACAUGUAUUGUGUGUGUCUGUGUAAUUGUAGCAAGUCCACCGUGGUAAGAAGCAGUUUGUGUAAAUAGAUCGUGAUUUUCACCACCGCAAGUUAAAGGCCAGUAGAUGUCUGGUGAGGAACAGGAACAUACGAUAACAGAUGGAUGUGCAGCACUGAAGAAGCUCUCAUUAUAAACCCAAAAGAAUACAAGCGACCUUUGAUCUGUACAGUAUAUGAAUGCAGGAUAUGGCAAGGCAACUGUAAGCCAAAUAUACUGUAAGUGAAUUAUUCUGUAGCUUGAAAAGGUUGUUAACAUUUGGAGCAGUUUAACUUUUUAAUACAGUGUAUAAAAUGGUUUAAUUUUUUGGAGAAGAAAACAGAAAAAUAAACUAACAGUGUUUCUU